GCAUCAAGAAAACCAAAAUUGAUCAUGCUCUACUACCGCAGAAAGAAUUUCCUGAUUCAUUUAUUCACGGUGCAAAAAAUAGUAAGAGAUUAGUUUUGAAUCUCUACGAUUCAUCAUUCCUAUUCGUACGGUAAAUCAUUGGCACUUCCUUGUGUGGUCUAGAGUUCGAAACACUUACACGCAUUACGAUUCGAAUUAUAUCGAACGUGAAGCACGGAAUCUUACAAGCGAGCGGUGAGUCUUACAAUUUGCUUUUCUCUUUUGUACUUGUUGCAUGCCUUAGUGUAUUAUUAUUUUUUCAGAUAACAUGGAUGACUGUGUGGUUUAAUCAGAAUCUUCUUUCCGUGUUUCACGAUGAACCUAUUUUAAUUCAAUUCAAGGAUUAUCCUCAGGAGAUUAAUCCGAAGUUGGACGGUGGUUUGUAUAUGAAUGAAGGCAGUAGGCCGUUCCUUGUAAUAUGGACAAUAAGAGUUUGUCUCGAGCUGGGGUAAUACAAAAAUUUUACAAUCAUGUCCUUCAUUAGGCAUUCCCGUUGAACAAAAUUGCGCCAUCCCUUUCCGCCCAUAUAGUGGUGUCUCUCCUUGUGGUAGAUUUUAGCAAUAUAGUAUUGCCGUGAAUUGGGCUCAAUGUCGUAUUCGUCCAUAAGUCCAGUUUUCUCUAGAAACCAUCCAGGUAUAGGCUAAUUCAAGCUUAGUUAUUUAGAAGGAAAAGAAUUCCAAAAUCAACAUGUAAUGCAAAUACAUUUUUGAAAAUAAACAAUUGCUGAAUGAUUGAUUACAUGCAGAUUAUAGUCAAAUGACAAAAAUCAAUGUCCAUAACCACAUUCAAAAAUGAUACUUGAAUCUAAUCCCUUACCAGAAAAUUCUGAAAAUGUAGUAAACUCUCUUGAAAAGGACGAACAUAAAUGGGAUUUAACUCAUUGUGAUGAAUUUGUAGACUGAUAUUUAUCUCCUCGUAAAAAUCCAUUGUUUUAUGAACCAAAUUAUCUUGACCCAAAUUAAAAUGUUAGGCAGAACUAAUCCCACAUUAAUCAGAAACCAUCCCGCAUAAAUCAAAUAUCAAAUACACUAUAAUUACUUAUAAUCAAUUAAAAACAGUCCCAAAAGAAUAAGAACAUGGCUAAAUUGAAAAACAUACAACAGAACAAUAACACACCAUACUAAUUACAAAAACAAAUGAGAAACAUCCUAUACCAAAAACGGAAAACACCAAGGAACCUCUGAUAGACAAUGGACGGUGAUCAGGAAACUAAUAAUGAAACCCCAAUGAUAGUGGAAUAUAGUAACGCAAGGAGCAAAACAUGCAUCUAAAAACAACCUUCCAAUUGGACAUUUCCUAACUUGAGAACAUAACCAUUAGUUGAUCACCGUAAACUGUAAAAACACAUCAUCAUCCAAUCAAAGCAAAAACGCGAAAAACAGAACACUAGAAACCCAAAAAACAGAACAGGAAUGUAAAAAAUGAGAAGACAUACCAAAGACCACUCUUUCCAUUCAAAUCGACAAACGAUCUCCUCCUUCUUCGUUCCUACGUCUUCGGUGAUUGUAUUUAAUCGCUUGGAAGAACCUGCCAUGAUGUAGACGGUGGUUGUAUUGCAAUGAACUGAUUUUUUGGGGGG
rnacentral:lncRNA from 1 species